rnacentral:rRNA from 1 species
UACGUAGGGCGCAAGCGUUGUCCGGAAUUAUUGGGCGUAAAGCGCUUGUAGGCGGCUUGUUAAGUUCCGUGUGAAAUCCCCAGGCUUAACCUGGGAAGUGCGCGGAAAACUGGCGAGCUUGAGUGCCGGAGAGGGUCGCGGAAUUCCCGGUGUAGAGGUGAAAUUCGUAGAUAUCGGGAGGAACACCAGUGGCGAAGGCGGCGACCUGGACGGACACUGACGCUGAGACGCGAAAGCGUGGGGAGCAAACAGG